rnacentral:tRNA from 1 species
GGGGUUGUGGCUCAGUGGUAAAGUGCUCACCUAGCAUGUGAAAGGCCCUGGGUUCCAUCCUCAGCACCACA